rnacentral:misc_RNA from 1 species
GUAGGUGAACCUGCGGAAGGAUCAUUAACACGUAUCCAACGUUAAACAACCCUGUGAACCUUCAGCUUGCUCGCGGCAGCAAUCCCUAGUAAAUCAUUGUUGAACAGCUUUUGAUUUAGGGACCUCUGUUUUGUCUACGCUCGUAGCGAUGGACGCAAUGCAUCCCCAAGCAGUCAUUGUUCUGAAAGUGUCUUGGAUUGUGUAAGGGUGGCGCAAUCGAUCGUUGGAGGCCGACACGGCCGACGACCGG